GUGCCAUUCAUCCACAACCAUCCCCUUAUGUUGCAGCUUGAUAUUGCACGCCCCCAUGUUACAAGGAUCUGUACACAAUUCCUGGAAGCUGAAAACAUCCCAGUUCUUGCAUGGCCAGCAUACUCACCGGACAUGUCACCCAUUGAGCAUGUUUAUGAUGCUCUGGAUCAGCGUAUACGGCAGUGUGUUGCAGGUCCUGCCCAUAUCCAGCAACUUCGCACAGCCAUUGAAGAGGAGUGGACCAACAAUAAACAACCUGAUAAACUCUAUGUGAAGGAGAUGUGUUGCACUGUGUGAGGCAAAUGGUGGUCACACCAGAUAGUGACUGGGUUGUGGAUCCCCCCGGAUAUCCAAUACAGUAAAACUGCACAUUUUAGAGUGGCCUUUUUUUGUGGCCAGCCUAAG